GCUUUAUAUAGUGAGGAUGUACAUAAGAGUUAGACUGAAGUGAUUCAAUUGUACCAAUGUGAGUUGAGUCUGUGCCACAUACCAGGCUCUGGAACUCGGCCAUGAACAAACAGACAUCAGGCCCUGCUCUUAUGAAGCUUAGAUUCUAGUGCAAUAACUGGAGAGAAAUAAACUGAAUGGAACAUCAGAUGGUGAUGAAAGUGAAAGCGUUAGUCACUUAGUCGUGUCCAACUCUUUGUGACCCCAUGGACUGUAGGCCGCCAGGUUCCUCUGUCCAUGGGAUUCUCUAGGCAAGAAUACUCCAGUGGGUUGCCAUUUCCUCCUUCAGGGGAUCUUCCUGACCCAGGGAUCAAACCCAGGUCUUCCGCAUUGCAGGCAGAAGCUUUAUCAUCUGAACCACCUGCUAUGAAAAAGCCCAGCAGACUGAGAGAGGAGCUGGAGGAGGGGAGCGGAGGGAGACACGGAGCAGGCCGUGAGGCGUGAGGCGAGCGCGGAAAGUGCAGGUGAAAUUUGACAUUUUCAUCUUUAUGUGAAGUUUUGGUAUUUUGCUCAUCGUGGACUUUUUGCAUCAUUUUUUUAUUUUUGAAAAAAUCAGUACUUAGUUCCCCAGUCACCUGGCGCCCUUUAACAUCUUGCGUUGGUCCCACCCUGGUUUCAGCCCCGGAAGCGGAGUCCGAGUAAAUGGGGUCACGGUCACUGAGGAGGGCUCUGGGUGCUGGCCAGGUCUUCAGAAUGUCCUCCGUGGUCUGUGGAGCGGCCACUGCAGGGUCUGGAGCAAACAGACGGGAGCAGACUGGAGAAGGUCAGCGGUGCAAGCACACUUUGCCGAAAGGGGAAGAUGUGUGACCCCUGAAAAGGCGGAGGACUGGAUGGACACCCUGUCUGAACAGGAAGCCGGAAUCCAGAAGGCCUCUACUGGAAAACCACGGGAGCUGACGUCUGCAGGACACUUUCUGAGUGCAAGGUGCAGCUCCGUGCCUCAGGCUUCCUCUCUCAUUAGUCCUCACAGCAGCUGACCAAGAUAAGUGACAGCGAGACAGAGGCCUGGAGAGAAACUCACCAAGGCCUCCAAGCGGGGGUGGCAGGAUGCAGACCCAACCGCCACGCAGGCUAUUCCGCGAGGUCCAGGCUAUUCUGCGUGGUCCAGGCUGUUCCACGUGGUCCAGGCUAUUCCACGUGGUCCAGGCUAUUCCGUGUGGUCUAGGCUAUUUCGUGUGGUCCAGGCUAUUCCGCGUGGUCCAGGCUAUUCCAUGUGAUCCAGGCUAUUCCGUGUGGUCUAGGCUAUUCCACGAGGUCCAGGCUAUUCCGCGAGGUCCAGGCUAUUCCGCGUGGUCCAGGCUAUUCCAUGUGAUCCAGGCUAUUCCGUGUGGUCUGGGCUAUUCCACAAGGUCCAAGCUUUUCCACGAGGUCCAGGCUAUUCCGCGUGGUCCAGGCUAUUCCACAAGGUCCAGGCUAUU
ensembl:lncRNA